rnacentral:rRNA from 1 species
CCUACGGGUCGCAGCAGUGAGGAAUAUUGGUCAAUGGGCUUACGCCUGAACCAGCCAAGUCGCGUGAGGGAAGACUGCCCUAUGUGUUGUAAACCUCUUUUGUCAGGGAGCAAAGCCGGCUACUUGUACCCGGACUGAGAGUACCUGAAGAAAAAGCAUCGGUUAACUCCGUGCCAGCAGCCGCGGUAAUACGGAGGAUGCGAGCGUUAUCCGGUUUUAUUGGGUGUAAAGGGUGCGUAGGCGGAAUGCCAAGUCAGCGGUAAAAUCCCGGGGCUCAACCUCGCUCAGCCGUUGAAACUGGCGUUCUUGAGUGGGAGAGAAGUAUGCGGAAUGCGUGGUGUAGCGGUGAAAUGCAUAGAUAUCGCGCAGAACUCCGAUUGCGAAGGCAGCAUACCGGCGCCAAACUGACGCUGAAGCACGAAAGCGUGGGUAUCGAACAGGAUUAGAUACCCUGGUAGUC